GGAACGUAUUUUGCACGCGUUCUCACUAUCUGUGAGAGAAUAAAUGAGAGAAUUUAGUAUACCAUCAACUACACGAUAGAAAGUGAACAAAGAGUAGUUUCCUAACAUCUCAUAGCCUCUCGAAUAUAAGUACAGAUGUCUCAGUACCGAUCCGCAAGAGUCGAUUAGGUAUGUCCGUGACUUGUGAGACCUACGUGAACUUAGUGCUCUGAUAACAUGUUGUCAUGACCUAAAUCUAUUAUAGACCGUGAUGGCGCCCAAUCUGAUCAAAUAUUGAUUUUCUAUUUAAAAAAAUUAUUAAGUAGUAACAAUUCCUUAUUUAUCAAAAAGAUUUUGAUGUUUACGAGUGUAACAUAAAUAAGCGGAUGCAAUAAAUACUAAUCGGAAUCAUGUAAGCAACCCCAAAUUCGUAAGUCUACUAGUGUGUGUGCCAAGAUCUGGUAUCACAAAUAUGUGGAGAAUCUAGUAGAAUAUAUAAAAGGAUUCUAACCUACUGUCUGAAAGGAAUAAACAGAAAAGUAAAACAUAAGGGAGACUCCAGCUGCAACAGAAUGGCUCGAAAAGAAAAUCACCAUGAAUUCUCGAGGUAUGGAUCAACUACGUGUGUCGAACAGUAACUAGAUGCACCUGCCUCAGAUCCUUUAUAAUUAAGUACAGAAGUAUAGCAUGAGUACAUAAACAAUAUAUACCCAGUAUAUCCAGUCUAACCUCGAAGAAGUAGUGACGAGGGGUUAAGUAUUAUACAAAGCGUGAUUUCAUGAAUAAUACUAAAAGCUAAAUAACAGGAAAUGAUAAAUUCUUCUUUCACAAAUAUAAAUUUCAAAUGUACUUAUAUAUUUGAACAGCUUGCAUUUCGAGACAUUUAGCAGUUAAAUCAUGGAGAGUUCCAAAUAAUUAUCAUGUGCAAAUAUGCCGAGUUUGUACGGCCCGAUCCAACAUAAUAUUUAAAAUAUGCACUAUCGGAGGGUCGAACGACGUGAACCAUAGAAGCAUCUAUUUACUACCAAGGCGCUCUGGCCCGAUCCACAAAUAACAACUAUUUUUAAGGAAAAUACAAAUCUCUCAUUUAUAGUCAAGUAUUCCAUUCAAUUCUUCAAAUAAGUGAAUUUAAAUUUUUUACGAAUUAUUUUAUCAAAUUCUAACCUGACUCAACUAAGUAAUUAGCAAGUAAAGGUGCAACAUUUCAAAUAAAACAUUACGGGUCCUAAACUACAAGGACAAUAGCAUAAUAUUAGCUACGUAUGGACUCUCAUCAACUCGUACAUAUGUAGCUCCCCACUAAUAGGUAUGCACAUUUAUUUAAUUCACCUUUGGGGUUAAUUUCCUUUUACAAGGUUAGAAAGGAGACGUACAUCAUCUCAAGGCCUACUUCCCAAUUCAAGAAUACAGUUAAACCACCAAAUUUGAUAUCAAACGACUUGAAACUAGUCAAACAUUAUGUAAAUUAAUCAAUUUAUGCUCAAACGUUAAUACCCCCACUAUUAAAGUGAUUACCCGACCCAAAUUGCAAGAUUUUAAAAUUCACCCCAGGCCCACAUGCUCGAAUUUCGAAAAUUUUCGAAGAAAGUUAUUACCCAUAACCUUAGGAACAUAAAUAUAUAAUUUUUACUAUGCUUCAUAAUUAAUUUUGUGGUCAAAUCUCAUUUUUAUCAAAAACCUAGGUUUUCGUCUAAACCCUUGAUUUCUACUAAUUUUUAUUUUUAAUCUACCUAUAAUCUAUGUAUUUAACUUAUGUUGUGUAGAAAUUACUUACCUCAAAGUGCUAGGUGAAAUCCCUAUUCCAAAAGCUCCAAAAAUUGCCCAAGAUAUGAAGUGAAAUAAAAUAAAUAAUCGAAGUCCUGCAAUAAAGAGUUGUGCACCGGUUAUAGAUGUCGCAUUUGCGACAUCUGGUUCGCAAAUGUGGUACAAUCAUUGCAAAUGUGACACACUCAUCGCAAAUGCAAACUAGGCUUUCCCCCUGUCCAGGUCUCAAAUGCAACAAGGGAAUGACAAAUGUGAUCAAUGCAGGGUUGCAAAUGCACCUGUUUCUCUAGAAAUUGCGAGAUAGGCCCAGACUAGGCUUCAUCGCAAAUGUGAUGCCUCUCUCACAAAUACGAGACCUGCAGCAGCUGCCAAAAACAACAGAAAAUUGGAGUGCUUUCAACUCCUUCCACACGUCCGAAACUCACUCGAGCCCUCAAGGUUCCACACCAAACACUCACACCAGUCUAAAAACAUCAUACAAACUUGCUCAUGUGAUCAGAGCACUGAAAUAACAUCAAAAACCACGAAUUGUAUGCCAAAAUGCAUGAAUUUACUCCUGAACUCCAAAAACAUCUAAAACACUCCAGUGCAUCUGAUUCCUAUUAAAUCUACUCAAAAUGAUGCAAAACUUUGCGUGAAAGUGCUAAAUGACAUUAUGGACCUACUCCAACGUUCAAAACUGGAAUUUGAACCCGAUAUCAAAAUGUCCACCCUCGGUCAAACUUUGCAAAAACUUCUAGUUUCUAACUUUCGCCAAAUGACUCCGAAACGACCUACUGGCCUUUGAGUCCACUCCCGGAUACGCUCCCAAGUCCAGAAUCACCAUACAUUCCCAGGCUCGGAAUCCUAAUCGGAUGUCUAGAAUGUAAAAAUCCAUUUCAACCCAAACUGAUGGAGUUUACUCAAAAUACCAACUUUCAUAUUAGCCGUUAAAACGCUCCCAAGUCAUCCAAAACACGGUCUGAACAUAUGCCCAAGUCUGAAAUCAUCAUACGAACCUAGUGGAAUAAUCAAAUCCCGAUUCCGAGGUCGUUAAUUUUGAUCGGAGUCAAACUUCGCCAUUUACGCGAACCUUAAGGAACCGAAUGUUCCGAUUUCAACCCACACUCUUCAAAAUCAUGAACUAACUAUCCCCCAAACUCAUAAAUUAGUAAAAGCAAGUAUGGGAAGUCUUAUUUACGGGAACCGAGUUCUAGAAUCAAAAUGGUCGGUCGGCUCGUUACAUUCUCCACCUCUUAAACAAACGUUCAUCCUCGAACGAGUUUUGAUUCAUACCUGAAGUGCUGAAUAAGGGUGGAUAUCUGCUCCAUAUGUCCUCCUCGAACUCCUAGGUUGACUCCUCGACUGGUUGGACCCUCAAUUGAACCUUUACUACAAAAAUCCUCUUGGACCUUAACUAGCGAUCAUGCCAAGCAACAAUGGCAUAUGUCUCCUCUUCAUAACCCAAGCUCUUAUGUAGCUGUAUAGUGUUGAAGUCUAACACAUGUGACAUGUCACCGUGAUACCUCUAGAGCAUAGACACGUGAAAAAUCGGAUGAACCUCUGAUAGGAUGGGAGGUAAAGCAAGCUCAUAAGCAACCUCCUCAACUCGUCUCAAGACCUCAAAUGGACCUAUAAACCUUAGGCUCAACAUGAACUUCUUUUUGAACCUAAUCAUCCCUUUCAUUGGUGAGACUUUCAAGAGAACCUUCUCGCCUACCAUAAAUGACACAUCACGCGCCUUCUGAUCCACGUAACUCUUCUGUCUAGACUAUGUUGUGUGAAGUCGUUCCUGAAUCAACUUUACCUUCUCCAAGUCAUAUUUUACCAAAUCAGUACCAUAUUACAUAGCCUCAUCAGACUCAAACCACCCCAAUGGGAGAACGACAUCGUCGACCACAUAAAGCCUCAAAUGGAGCCAUCUCGCUGUUGGACCGAUAACUGUUGUUUUAAGCAAACUCGGCCAAAAGUAUGAUUGAUCCACUGCACUCCAAAGCCAGUCACACAUACUCUGAGCAAGUCCUCCAUAAUCUGCACUGUCUGCUCCGUUUUCUUGUAAAUCUUUGAAUGAAAUGAUGCGUUGAGCUCUACACGAAUACCCAACUCACUCUGUAUGGCUCUCCAGAAAUGUGAAGCAAACAUAGGGCCUCUAUCUGAUAUGAUGGAAACAUGCACACCAUGCAACCGAACUAUCUCUAGAAUAUAAAUCUGGUCCAACCUCUCUGAAGUAUAUGUUGUCAAAAUCAGAAUAAAGUGCGCCGACUUUGUUAACCUGUCGAAAAUAACCCAAACUAUAUCAAAAUUCCGCACCAUCCGCAGCAACCCAACUACGAAGUCCAUAAUAAUGUGCUCCAAUUUCUACUCAGGUAUAGUAAUCUGUUGGAUAAGCCACCUGGCCUUUGGUGGUCAUACUUAACCUACUAGCAAUUUAGGCACCUAGACAUAUGCUCAACUAUGUCUUUCUUCAUCCACCGCCACCAAUAAUGUUGCCUCAGGUCACGAUACAUCUUUGUAGCACCUAGAUGAAUGGAAUUCUGGGAACUGUGUGCCUCCUCUAGAAUCCUCUCCCUCAAGCAAUUGACAUUAGGAACACAUAGACGACCCUGGAGUCGCAAUAUACCAUCUACGCCCAUAGAAACCUCCUUUUGCACCACCCUGUAGUAUCGUAUCCAUAAGGACUUCCAAGUGCGGAUCAUCAAACUGUUGAGCCUUGAUCUGCCCCAAUAGUGAAGACUGGACAAUAACACAUGCAAGAACUUAGUUGGGAUCUGAAAUGUCCAACCUCACAAGUUUGUUAGCCUAGGACUAAAUGUCCAAAGCAAGUGGUCGCUCCUCUACUGAAAUGAAUACCAAGCUACCCAUACUCUCUGCCUUCCUACUUAUGAGAUCUGCGACCAUAUUUGCCUUGCCCGGAUGAUAAAAAAUGGUGAUAUCAUAAUCCUUCAGUAACUCCAUUUGUCUACACUGCCUCAAAUUGAGAUCCCUUUGCUUGAACAAAUGUUGUAAGCUGCGAUGAUCAGUAUAAUCUUCGUAUGACACCCUGUACAAAUAAUGCCUCCAUAUCUUAAGAUCAUGAACAAUCGCGUCUAACUCUAGGUUAUGCACAUGGUAAUUAAUGUCAUGAAUAUUCAGCUGAUACAAAGCAUAUGCAAUAACUCACCCCUCCUACAUCAAUACACAACCCAAGAAAAUGCAUGAAGCAUCCAAUACACCGUAUACAUCCCCGAACAAGAAGGAAACACUAGAAUUGGUGCUGUAGUCAAAGCUAUCUUGAGCUUCUGAAAGCUCACCUCACAAUCAUCGGACCAAUCGAACAGAGCAUCCUUUUUGUUCAAUUUGGUCAGAGGUGCUGCAAUGGAUGAAAAACCCUGCACAAAUGGGUUAUAAUAACCUAUUAACUCUGGGAAACUCUUGAUCUCAGUCACCAAAGUGGGACGAAGCCAACUCUGAACUACCUUAAUCUUCUUGGGAUCCACCUUAAUACCCUUUCCUGAUACAACAUGCCCCAAGAAUACCACAAACUCUAGCCAAAACUCACACUUGGAGAACUUAGCAUACAACUUUUGUUCUCUAAAUGUCUUAAGUACCUUUCUCAAAUGUUGCUCGUGCUCCCCUAGGCUACGGGAGUAGAUAAAAAAUGUUACUAAUAAAGACAAUGACAAAUGGAACAACCCUACUCGACUAUAUGUCGAGCCUUCAGGAAAGAGGUGACCCGAAUCAAUGUACUAACAAAGGAACCUUUCCACUCUAAUCUCGGUAACUUUGGCAUCGCUAAAGUAACAUUCUUGGCAUGGAAAUCGAGGAUGUGGCAUGAUAUGGGGAUUAAAAGUCCAUGCCCAGGAUGACCUUAAAGUUGAUCAUAUCAAACAACAGAAGGUUCGCUCUAGUGUCAUAACCAUAGAAUGCGACCACAUAGGACCGAUAGAUGCAAUCCACAACCAGUGAAUCACCCACAGAAGUGGACACAUAAACAAAGAGUACCCAAGGACUCACGAGGAAUAUCCAAGAAUGGAGAAAAUAGAAAUGACACAUAUGAGUAGGUACACCCUAGAUCAAAUAAUACUGAAGCAUCCCUACCACAGACAAAAAUAAUAGAAGUGAUCACUAUUGAUACCAAAUUUUUUCCUAUAUAUUUUUUUUGUACCCAAAAUACUCCCAAAUAGCAUAUAGGUGCAUAUAUAAGCACAUUCAGGAGUUUUGGCAUUUUAAAGAUUUUUAGAACCAGUUUAUUGCCAAUUUUUGUACCACAAAAAAUCCAAAAUUUUUAUUUUGGUGAAUAACUUAUUUUAUCCUUAUAUUUAUACCAAAAUAUAAUUAAGUUAAUUUUUUGCAUAUUUUUAAAAAUGUAUUUGACAUUUUUAAAGCUUAAUUGCAUAUAAUUACAAUUAUAACCUAUCUAGUAACUUAUAGCAAUUUAUAAUUAUAAAAUUAAGCCCAGAAUUUUUAAAUUAAUGUUUAUAUAUUUGGUUACCAAAUACUCUUAAUUUUCUUUUGAAAACUGUAUUACUAUUUCUAUAAAAAAAUUAAAAGAUAAAAUUGGCUAUUUACGAUUUAGCAUCAAUUACGUUGCAAUUAUAGCCACAUUAGCACCACAUUUCAGCCCCAAAAUUGCCCAACCUAGUCUCCAAUUUGGACAGACCCCAGCAUCGAUUAACCAAACCAGCCAGUGCCCCUUUUAAUCUGAGUCAUUGAUAAUUUUGAUCAACGGCCCAGACUCUCCCUUACCUUUUUUAAUCUUAAACAACCCUUAUACCCUCCUCAUUCUCUCAAAAACGUCGUCCUCAAGCUCUCAUCUCUCUCAAAUGCUCUCAAACACUCUCAAACCCUAAUCGUCACCUACCCUUUUUCAACCUCAAAUCUACAAGAAUCCAUGUUUGCUCUACCUAAUGACGACAUGUACUCACCUCUUACUACUUUUACACGCCUGAUUCCUGAAGAUUUGAGGUCAGUCUUCGAGAGCCUUCACCUAAAACUUCACCGAUCCAAGGUUUUCAGCCAUUUCCAGCCUUGCUCCGGCCUAUCUUAGCCUCUUGAGCCUGGUUCCGACCUAAUCAUCUCAGAUCUGAUCUUUCAUCUUCCAAGCCUUUCUCAUCCUUUAGGGUUCUCAGAAACCCUAACCUAUUCGAGGUUCUUUUAGCUUAUUCGUUUAGAUCCGUGCUAUAUCUAUGCUAUAUGUGAUGUUUAAAGCAUUUUCCCAAAAUUCCCUUUUUUUUUCAAAACCCUUUAUUUUGAAUUAGGGUUUCUGAGUUGGUAGUUUAAAUGUUUGUUCGAUUCAUCUACCUGUUAUCUCUAGGUUUAAUUGAUGAUUGAAAACCCUAAUUUUUUAGAUUUGUUUGAUUUUCUUAAAUCUACAAGCUAGUACUGUUUGAUUUACUGCUUAGUGGUGAAAACCCUAACUUUUGGGGUUUAUUUGAGACUCUGAUAUUGUUUAUGUAUUUAUAUGCUUAAAUUCUCUAAACCUGACUAAUUUUGAAAACCCUAGGUCUUUGGGGUCUAUUUGAGUUCCUGAAGUCGUUCCUCUGUUUAAAAUUGCGCAAUCUGAUUCCUUUGCUUCAGCAUCUCUGUUCCUUUAUGUGAUUUCUUUUGGUCUUGAGCUCUUGCUACUUGUCAAACUCGACUACAAAUUUCACUAGACUCCUUGCAUGAUUCUGGUCCUUUCUCUAUCACUAAACCACUGAAACCUGACUUACUUGACUAUCAAGUGAUUAUUCUCUUUGUCAUGAGUACAACCUCACUUGCCUAAGUUUAUGCACUCCUUUAUAUGCUAAAUUUUGUCGCUCAAAGUAGCCCUUGAUUAUGGACUGAUUUCAAAUCAUUUUGUGUGAUUUUGAUUGCACUCGUGUAAUUAGUUCUUUCCUUAUUGUACUGAUGUCCCUGCUUCUUCGGCCUAUUUGAAUGCUUUCCUUUGAAAUUUUGACCCCUAAAUUUUCUAUUCAAGUUGAUUGAUCCCCUUACCUUGAUUAUAUUGGUAUUGGACUCUUAUAAAUCUUGCCUUAAAUACAUUCUGAUGAACCUAGCCUCUAUUACCUACUAUGUAUCUGUACUAUGCUUGAAAUACUUAUUUAUGAGUCAUAUUCAGACUACGUGAUUUCUUUUCUUAUUUAGAACUUGCAUGUUACCGUUUGAUUUUUAAUUUCCUAAAUAAAGGAAGUCUUUGAUAAUAAUUUAAUUUUAGUUGACACUUGUUUCCCUAAUUAUUGAUGAACUACAAUCUGUUCCUUAUUUUCUGCCUAUUUUUACACUAACAAUACUUGAUUUUCUCAUUAGCACAAGCACACGAACACACGCAGACAAGUUCUGAAAAACACACUACUUCUCUUUCUCUUUCUCAAAUACUUCUAAGUUUUCUUCAAAGUAUUCGAGUUUGUUUUGCUGAAGUCCUGAGUUGGUUUUUUCUCUGUUUGCAUGUGGCUACAAGUGUUCUGCCCCUCUUUGUGUUUAUUUCACAACUGGUAUGUCCCUUUAGUUUAAUACUGCCUCUCCCUAUGUGUUCAAACUUCAGCCCUUUCCUAUGUUUACUUUACUGCUUCUUCAUAUUUGCUAUUUUUCUCUUGACUGAAUUCCCUCUCAUUCAAUCCAUUUGCAUGUGAGUUAUGGUUUAUAAAGUAUGACAAUACUUAAACAUUGUUGUUCAAUUGCCUGGACUAGAUUUUUUGGAAUCCCAAACUCAAUCAAUUCCCACUCCCUUCCCCUUAUGUGUGCUUGAGCUUUAGACCUUGGUCUGACAGUGCCCUAAUCACUACCCAGGCCCUGGUCUGACCUUCGAUGGGUCUGCUCUUACUUGUUUGACCAAAUACGUCGGUGAGGGGUGUGCCAACUUGUUUUGUGGCUAGACAUGACCACCACCUUUUAUGGCUUCCCCAAUCCCUUUCACACUUACACUUGUUCUUAGCUACUAAAUCCUGCCCCUAUCUUGCAAGCUUGCCUUGGGACCCUUGAACUCCCUUUGAACUUGGAUGCUUGAGAGCUGGCUCUUCUAUACUGCAUUGUUUUUAUUCUAAUGGUAUCUUGGGUGUAAGUAAUGCCGGAAAUUCCAGAAAUUCCUUGGAACUUUGAAACACCCUAUAUGGAGAGAAAGCUUUGGAAAUCUGAAUCUUAGGAGUGGUUCAAUCGUAUGUUAUUAGACAUUAAGCCUGAUUUAUGCACCUUGGAUGCAAUUUUUAGCUUCUGAUUGUAUUUUUCUCUAUUUUUUUUGUUUGUCAUAACUUGUAUAAACUUGUGGAAUAUAGUGAGGGGGGGUCUUUACUUUACUGCAUUAAAGGGCAUAAAAUCAUGUUUCUAGGAUUUUACUAUUCAAUUGCAUAGAAAUCCAUCCUAUAGGCUCGUGUACUAUUAAUUCAAUCACAUAAAAAGCAUGCAUAUAGGAACUAAUGCUUACUUUCUGCAGUCACACACAUAGAAAUCCUGCCUAUAUGAGAUAAUUUUUCUGCAAUCUUGCAUAUAGAUAUCAUGGCUAUAGGAAUGUGCAUCUUCAUGACAUUAGGCAAACUAUUACGAUUAAUCAAAUCAUCAUUUGUUCAAAAGUUUAUUAACACAAUUUAAAACCAAUAGCUUAUAGAUAUCAUUCCUAUAGGACUUUUAAAUCAAACGAGCCCUGCCCGUCUAAAAGCAGUAAUAACCGACUAAAACAACUUGUUCCUUCAUGCCUAGAUCAAUAUAUAUUUUUUAAAACUUAAUCUUUUGAUAAACCUUACUCAAAUUAACGUAUACUUUUGUUCCUAAAACCUAAUCUUUUAAACUUGUACGUCUUUCUAAAAUUGCUUUUUCUAAUAAUCUGACCUAAAUGUGUUUUUCAAUUCAGUUCCAUUCUUUUGAACGUGUCGUCUUAAACCAGUUCCGUGGGUCACUUAUUUUUCUUAAACAAUCCACCUCUUCUGCAAUUUUAAAAAUUACUAUUUCUAUGCUUAACUACAACUAGGCAGUCUGUUUCUCUUUUGAACGCAUUCCUAAACCAUUUUCUAAGUCUGCAGCAUCCUUUUUCCUUCUUCUACUAGUUUCUCUUCUAAAUCAGUAAUCUUAUUCAAUUCGCGUUAAUCAAGUGCCUUUAUCUCUGACAGUUGUAUCCAAGUGGUCUAAUGUAGACUUUCUGUCUAAAUAUAUGUGUUGAACCAGUCCGCUAGCUGCUUAAUUUAAUUUAAAGACCACACCAGUAUUUGCAAAGGCGCACUAAACUAUAUGACUAUCUUCUUUUAGGGGUUUACUUGCUUGCUUGAUCUUCCCUUAUUUGAUACAUGUUUAGAAUGUCGAACUAGUAUUUUAUCCUUUAAACUCCAUAAAAGACCCAAUCCAUUUCUCCCCAUUAGGAUUAUAAGUCUAAAUAACCCUGGACUAGUAGGAUUGGGACGAGUAUUAGCAUAUAAUAAUUAAAUAAGACCAAUCGUGCUUUAAUACCUUAACGGGGUAGGAAGGAUAGAAUAUGGAUGUGAUGACCGCUGCACUAAUAUCACGUGCGACCCCUCUUUCGAGGAGUAUGCGCCGGGUAUUGCAUUGAUGUGAUCCAUAUUAUGUAUAAACAUAUGACCUUUUCUUCUUUACUUGUAAUAUUUUCUUUUAAUUAACUCUUGUAAAACCUACCAUUUCAUUUCUCUAUUAAACUUUUGAACUUAUUUGCAUUAAUUAUGAAAACCUUGCUUGUUUCUUCUAUCUUCUAAACUGUCAAUUGUAGUAUGGACGGGAACCACACAAGUGGAUUUUGAGGGGUGCCUAACACCUUUCCCUCGAGAUAAUCUCAAGCCCUUGCCCAAACUCUGGUUCUUCCUCUCAAAUUCUUUUCUUUAAAAGUGUCCUAAUGAACUAUAAUCAUUAGGCGGCGACUCUCAAAAUUUCAAAACCGAAUUCUCAAAAGGGAAUAAGAGUUUUCAAUCCAUAAUGUCGUGUAUCUGUUUUCGGCUAGUAGAAAAAGGGGGCGUCGACAAUCACGGCAUCUGAGGCCAAUCCAUCUGAUAUGGCCGGAAAAAUAUAGAAUAUGGCUGGAGUGCUAGCUGGAAGGCCUCCGCCUGACUGAACAGUAGUUGGCUAGCCUCCCCUUGCCUGGCCUCUACCUUUAGGGCGGCCCCUAGCAGCCUACCCUCCGCCUCUGGGCGGACGGACAACUGGUGAUGUAAUCAUGCGCUAUUGGCCCUGCUACACUGCCUUACCCCAAAGCUUAGGGCAUAAUCUCCUCAUGUGACUAAGAUCUCCGCACUUAAAACAACCCCUUGGUGUGAUGAUCUACAACCUUGAAGUCUUACCCUAAUGGCCUAAAGAGCUACUGGAAGAACCCUGAAUAGCUGGUGGGUGGUAUGAACUCUCCGGCAUGGCACUAAAAUAGAAGCUGGAAGAACCCUGGUGGACUGAGUACCCACUGGAAGAACCCUGGAUGGCUGGUAGGCGGUUAGAACUCUUUGGUAUGGUGGUGAAAUAGCAUCGUGUUGGAGCACCCCAAGGAGGUGGUGGUGCUGAAUAUAUGGGCAUGCUAGGCUGACCUAUCCAAACUGACCUCUGCCCCUUGCCUCUAAACUCUCUAGAGAAUCAGGUCCUCUAGUCCCGAUACAUUUUCUCUCUACCUCUCUAAUGGUAGCCUUCAGUUAUCCAAGCAAUAUCUACCACCAGCUAGUAAGAAGUCCCCAUUUCGACCUCCCAGGCCAUAUUAGCCCUAAUACCCGAGUACAAUUCCACAGCAAACUUGUGCACUCUCUCUGCUUUAGUAAGAUGUAUCAUAAGUGCAUGGCGAAGCAACUUAGAAAACCUUGCCUCAUAAUCGAUCACCGACAUCUCCCUGCUUUAGAUACUCAAACUGAUACCGCAACUCUUCCCUCUUGGAGGGUGGAAUAUACCUAUCGAAGAAAAGCUGUGUGAAUUGGCCUCAUGAGAGGAGAACCUGCUGGUCUACCAUGAAGAUAAUACUGCCACCAUCUACGGGCCCUACCCUCUUGCUAGAAAGUAGUGAAAUCUACUCUAUGAGACUCCAAUAUCCUCAUGUUGUUCAGUCUACCCCUGCACUGAUCAAUGAAGUCCUGGGGGGUCCUCAUGUCGGUCACAUCCGAAGAUAGAAGGGUGUAGCCUAGUCCAUCUAUCUAAUAGAUUAUGUGGCUCGCCAAUUGCAGCUGGUCUAAGCUAAGGUACAAUCGCUGUAACUGGAUGGGCCCUAUCUGCGGGUAGUAAACUGAAGUCUAAUAUACUACAGCUGCAUGCCUAGGAAAUAAACUAGCCUGGGUCAUAGAAUCCAUGAACUGCAACAUACGGCCCAUGACCUCCUCAAAGCCCAGUGCUAUCAUGAAAUCUACUUGGGCUGGUUGUGUUGUGGGCACAAUGGGAUCCUCUAACGGAUCAACUAAUGGUGUAACUAGGGCAACUCUAGGAUGUCCUCGUCACCUACCUCAGGUCGAUGCCCUCCCCUGGCUUCUGCCUCGACCUCUAGCAAUGGGGGACGAAGCUCCUCCCUGGUCUAGAACGUUUGCUGCAUGCGUUCUCACUAUCUGUGAGAGAAUAAAAUAGAGAAUUUAGUAUACCAUCAAUUACACGAUAGAAGGAUAAUAAAGAGUAGUUUCCUAACACCUCAAAGCCUCUCUAACAUAAGUACAGACAUCUCCGUACCGAUCUGCAAGACUCUAUUAGGUCUGCCAAUGACUUGUAAAACCCACGUUAACCUAGUGCUCUAAUACCAUGUUGGCACGACCCAAUUCCAUUAUAGGCCGUGAUAGCGCCCAACACUAUUUUAGACAAGUUGACACCAAUCAACUAGUGGUCUUCCAUUAAAAUAAAUAAUUAAGUAGUAAUAUUUCCUUAUUUCUAAAAAUAUUUAGAAGUUUACGAGUGUAACAUAAAUGAGCGAAAGCACUAUAUACUGAUCAAAAUCAUGUAAGCAAACCUAAAAUCAUAACUCAUAGUGUGUGGGCCAAGACCUGGUGUAACAAGUGUGUGUGCAAUCUAGUAGAAUAUACAAAUGAAUGCUACCCUAUUGUCUGAAAGGAACGGACAUAUAAGUUAAAUAUAAUGGAGUCUCCAGCUACUGCAGAACGGCUCAGAAAGCAACUCACUGUGGAGUCUCGAGGUGGGGAUCAACUAUACGCACUGGAUGGGUAACUAGAUGCACAUGCCUUAGAUCCUGUAUAAUCAGGUAUAGAAGUGUAAGAUGAGUACAUAAACAAUAUAUACUCGGAAAGUAUCCAAUCUAACCUCGAAGAAGUGGUGACGAGGGGUCAACUUUGCCACUUACUAUGGGCUAAAAUAUAAUAAAAGUGUUAUACUAAGCAUAGAUUUCAUGAAUAAUAUUGAAAGCUAAACAAUAAGAACUGUAAGUUCUUCUUUCACAAAUACAAAUUUCAAAUUCAAUCAUAUCAUUUUACAGCUUGCAUUUUGAGACAAUUAGCAAUUACAAUCAUGAAGAGUUCCUAAGAAUUAUCAUACGCAAAUUAUGUCCAGGUCGUACGGCCCGAUCCAACAUAAUAUUUAAACUUUACACUACUAGAGGGUCUAACUACGCGAACCAUAGAUGCCUCUAUUUACUACCGAGGCAGUCGGCCCGAUCCGCAAAUAGCAAUUAUUUUUAAGGAAAACACAAAUUUCUCAUUUAUAGUCAAGUAUUCCAAUAAAUUCUUGAAAUAAGUGAAUUCAACCUUUUAAGAAUUCUUUUAUCAAAUUCUAACAUGACUCAAGCAAGUAAAUUAGCAAGUAAGGGCGCAACAUUUCAUAUAAAGAAUGAUACAUGUCAUAAACUACCCGGACAAUAGCAUAAUAGUAUCCACGUACAGACUCUUGUAAACUCGUACGUAUGUAGGCUCCCAUAAAUAUGUACAUGCAUUUAUUUAAUUUACCUAUGGGGUUAGUUCUCUCUUACAAGGUUAGAAAAGAGACUUACCUCGUCUUAAGGCCUACUUCCCAAUUCAAGAAUGCACUUAAACCUCCAAAUUCGAUGUUAAACGACUCGAAACUAGUCAAAUAUUACGUAAAUUAAUCAAUCUAUGUUCAACAGUUUCAUAUCUCCACGAUUAAAGUGAUUAGCCAACCCAAAUCACAAGAUUCUUAAAAUUCACCCCGGACCCACAUGUCCAUAUUCCAAAACUUUUUAAGAAAGUUGUUACCCAUAACUUUAGGAACAUAAAUAUAUGAUUAUUACUAAGUUCCAUAACCAAUUUCAUGGUCAAAUCUUAUUUUUAUCAAAAACCUACGUUUUCAUCUAAACCCUUGAUUUUCACUAAUUUUUACAUGUUAAUCCACCCAUAAUCUAUGUAUUUAAUUCAUGUUGUGUAAAAAUUACUUACCUCAAAGUGCUAUAUGAAAACCAUCUUCCAAAAGUUCCAAACAUCGCCCAAGAGAUGAAGUGAAAUGAAAUAAGUGGCCUAAGUCCCGCAAAAAAUGAGUUGUGCACAGGUCUCAGAUGUAAACGCGACACAAUCAUCGCAAAUGCGAACUGGGAUUUCCCUCUGUCAAGGUCACAAAUUCAACAAAGGAAGGGAAAAUGUGAUCAACGCAGGGUUGAAAAUGCACCUAUUUCUCUCGCAAUUUCGACCUUGGCCAAACUAGGCUUCAUCGCAAAGGCGAGACCUGUAGCAGUUGCCAAGAACACCACAAAACCUGAGUGUUUUCAACUCCUUCCACAUGUGUGAGAAUCACUCGAGUCUUCGGUGCUCUACACCAAACACUCACACUAGUCCAACAAAAUCAUACAAACUUGCUCGCAUCAUUGGAACACUAAAUAACAUAAAAAAUAACGCAUUGGAGGCCAAAACACAUGAAUUGUCGCAUGAACUCCAAAAACUUCUAAAACACUCUGCUUGUCCGAUUCCUAUGAAAUUAAUUCGGAAUGAUGCCAAAAUUUGUCUGCAAGUCUUAUAUGACAUUACGGGCUUAUUCCAGCUUUUGGAACAAGAAUCUAGACCCAAUAUCAAAAAGUCCACCCUCAGUCAAACUUUCCAAAAACUUCAAGUUUCUAACUUUUGCCAAAUUACUCCGAAAUGACCUACAGACCUUCGAAUCCACUUUCCCACAUGCUUCUAAGUCCAAAAUCACUAUACAGAGCAAUUCCCAAGCUCGGAAUCCUAGGCGGACGUCUAGAAUGCAAAAAUCCAUUUCAACCCAAACUUAUGGAAUUUGCUCAAAAUGCCAACUUUCACUAUUAGGCGCUGAAAUGCUCUCGGGCCAUCAAAAACCCGCUUCGAACAUAUGUCCAAGUCUGAAAUGAUCAUACAACCCUAUUGGAAUCGUCAAAUCCUGAUUCUAAGAUCGUUCACUCAAAAUAUUGAUCGAAGUCAAACUUGGUCGUUGAAGCCAACCUUAAGGAACCAAAUGUUCCAUUUUCAACUCGAACACUCCAAAAUCCCGAACUAACCAUCCUCGCAAGUCUUAAAUUAGUAAAAGCAAGUGCAAAAUAUCUUAUUUAGGGGAAUGGGGUUCUAUUAAGUAAAACAAGCGUUCGGGUCGUUACAAUGAUGCAGAGAUUUGAUUGCUUAUUAUCUAUUACAAAUACAUCAACAAAUGCCACAAAUAAUAAUAUUUUUAUUCCAUGGGCAAGAAAAUAAUUUUACUUGCAAGUAUUGAAUCUUUAAUUUUGUAUUAGUUCAAAUAUGUCCUGUCCUUUUUAUGAGACUAAUCGAGGGUGGAGUAUAAUUAGCCAAGGAUCAUCUCUGAUAUAUAUCAAACUAUGAUAAUGAGUUAGAUUGUCAAGAUGGAGACCUUGAAAUCGAUUAAGAUAGAGACCGAGUAGAACCGGCACCGACCAAAAGUGAGAUCAAUGAAGAUCGAGACCGAAUAAGAUAGAGAUCUAGGGAAACUUACUGGGUCAAAUAACAAAAUUCCAAAACAUCCACAAUCGAGUGAGGAUCACGGUGCAAAUCCUGGCACGUAUCAAGAAGAGGACGAUUAGUUAGCUAAUCAUGGUAUUUCUUGCUAUAUUUAGAAUUAUACCAACAAUAGGACUCCCCNNNNNNNNNNNNNNNNNNNNNNNNNNNNNNNNNNNNNNNNNNNNNNNNNNNNNNNNNNNNNNNNNNNNNNNNNNNNNNNNNNNNNNNNNNNNNNNNNNNNNNNNNNNNNNNNNNNNNNNNNNNNNNNNNNNNNNNNNNNNNNNNNNNNNNNNNNNNNNNNNNNNNNNNNNNNNNNNNNNNNNNNNNNNNNNNNNNNNNNNNNNNNNNNNNNNNNNNNNNNNNNNNNNNNNNNNNNNNNNNNNNNNNNNNNNNNNNNNNNNNNNNNNNNNNNNNNNNNNNNNNNNNNNNNNNNNNNNNNNNNNNNNNNNNNNNNNNNNNNNNNNNNNNNNNNNNNNNNNNNNNNNNNNNNNNNNNNNNNNNNNNNNNNNNNNNNNNNNNNNNNNNNNNNNNNNNNNNNNNNNNNNNNNNNNNNNNNNNNNNNNNNNNNNNNNNNNNNNNNNNNNNNNNNNNNNNNNNNNNNNNNNCACUAUAUAAAACAAGUUUGAUCAUUUUGUAAAAGACAUAAUAUUUACGUUACAAAAGCAAUAUAUUCACUUUCUCUUAAGCUCUCAAAAUUCUUGUUACUUUGCUCAUAGUUUUCGAAAAAAUAGUCAAUUGAUUCGAGAGCAACCUAGCUCAAGGGUUAAAGCUAUACAUUUCAUUUGUUUUAUUUUAUUUAUAUUUUUGGUUCAGUAUCCAUUUAUGUUUUCUCACAAUUUAUGCCAAGUAAAUCAUGUGUCCUUAAAACCACAGUGAAAAAUCAAUUGUCAUUAUGGUAAAUAGUUGGGCUUCCACCGUAGGGGUAAGGAUAAUAGUGAUUGCCUGGUACGAUUUUCGUAAUACACACUAUUGUUUGCUUGUUCUUUGAAUUUUCUUUGAUAAAAUGAUUAAAAAAUGUCAAAUCGUGGUCAGUACCACAACACAUUGAUAAUGAUCUCAGCCACCACGACGAGAAUGAGAACAUUACACCGGAAAACAUUGUAUCCCCUACUGACCUCGAUGAAGCAACCGGUUGUAGACCCGAUCGACGUAAGUUUACAUGUAGACAUCAAUAGAAAUGUGGUUGCUGAUCCUGAAAGCAGGGUUCUUAGGGGUACACAAUCAGCUACAUAGAAUACACACGGCGGUUAAGAUGGCGAGAUCAACCUGCAGAUAAUCCUUGAAAUGUUUCAGGCCUAAUAGGAAGCAAUAACUCAGCUCUAGAAUUAGAACUAAACACCAAGAAAGGUCAAACUCAAGCCAUAACGAUAGGUUAUACACAUGGUCGAAUCGGAUUCGAGAAAAUUGAACGAGAAUAAAUCGGAGACAAAUCUUGCUAUUAUAAAAAUGCUCGAAGAAUUGAAAAUGCGGAUCGAGAUAAGGAAAUAGAAGAUUGAGGAAAAUGAUAAGAAGGUGAAAACCUAUUACUCCAGGGUUGACCAAAUCCUUGGGGCACCACCGAUAUUGAAAUGACUAGAUUUUAAAAGGUUUGUACAAAAUCUCCCCCCCCCCCAGUGCGGCUUCGAAGACAAUCCCCAAGAAGUUUUAUAUGAUCGAGAUUCCUAAGUAUAACGUGAAAACUAAUCCAAAUGAACGCGUCACCUCGUACACGUGCGCCAUCAAAUCAAAUGACUUGGAAGAUAACGAAAUUGAAACGAACGGCUGAAAAAAUUCGGGGAGAUUUUAUCAAAGGGUACCACGAUAUGGUUUCAUAAUUUACCACCAAAUUCUAUUGAUUUGAUUGUUAUGCUCACAAAUUCUUUUAUAAAGGAACAAACCAGAGCCAUUAAGGUUGCAACAAGAAAGUUGGACCUUUUUCAAGGUAAGGUAGAAGGACAAUGAGAUGCUUAGGGAAUUUAUAUUUCGGUUCCAAAUAGAGAGAAUGGAUUUGUUGACGAUCACUGAUAAUUGGGUUGUUCAAGCUUCCACACAAGGCAUCAACGCUCAAAGUUUCAUAUCCUCUCACAAAAGUUGAAGCAAAAUUUGAUCGAGUAUUCAGCUGUCACUUAGGACGAUGUACAUAAUUGAUAUCAGUCGAAGAUUAGGGUCGAGGAUGAUCAAUUGGGGACUCCUUCUAGGUCUGUUUUUCCUAAAAGGCAUGUGGAUAGAAUCAAUAUUGAUAUCGACCGAGAACCAAGGUCGAAUAGAGAUUGAUAUCAACUGUAUAAUAAAGAUUGUGGAGGCAGCGGAUCUAGGAAAAAACAUUGCACGGAAUGAAAAGAUAAAUGAUCGAGGUAAAAGUUCAUGGGGACUUAUGAGCAAGAGAGGUUUCGACAGGGAUGCCAUGUCCAAAGAAGCACCGCGAUUGUCAGAAUAUAACUUCAACGUAGAUGCAUCUACCAUCAUAUCAGCCAUCGGACGUAUCAAAGAUACUAGGUGGCCUCGACUCUGCAGACCGAUCUGGCCCCGAGAAAUCCCAACCAAAUGUGCAAGUAUCAUGGCACUCAGGGCCACAAAAUAGAAGAUUGCAGGAAGCUAAGGGAGGAAGUAUCCCAAUUAUUCAACGCGGGUCAUCUUCAGGAAUUCGUAUGCAAUCGAGCCAAGAAUCACUUCAACAAUAGAGAUUCUAGUAGACAGAAUGAGCAGGAAGAACCACUACACAUGAUUCAUAUGAUCGUUGGAGGGGUUGACUCCUCAUGUACCAGUACUAGAGCGCACCAAGGUGUCGAUAACAAGGGAGAAGCAAACUUGGGAUUACAUACUAAAAGGAACCUUGCCUUUCAGCGAUGAUGUUAUAGAAGGGAUCGAACAACUUACAACGACGCACUGGUAAUAUCUGUACUUAUGAAUAAGACUCAAGUUAAAUGUCCUUUGAUUGAACCAGGUAGCUCAGCCAACAUAAUUUGAUCAAGGGUCAUAGAAUAGCUCGGCCUACAUGAUCAGGUUGUACUGGUGGCCCGAGUGGCAUCAAUAUGGCAUAUGAAACCACCAAAGGAGAAAUAACUUUGCCAGUAAACGUGGUUGCAACCAUAUAAGAAAUUAAGUUCUAUGCAAUCGAAGGUGAUAUGAGGUAUAAUCUCCUAUUUUGAAGACCGUGGAUCCAUAGCAUGAGGGCAAUUCCUUCGAACCUUCUCCAGGUUCUGAAAUUCCCAAUGCCAGAGGGAGUCAAAAUAGUCUACGGGGAGAAACCCUCCGCUAAAGAAAUGUUUUCCAUUGAUGAAAUGAUACAGAUAUCGGUGCUUUCAUCAAUAAAAGAAUCAAGUUCGAAGGGAAAGUAGGAGGUGAAAUAGCAACCACAAGCACCAGCCUAGACCCAACCGAAAGAGCAAGGAACACACGAGGAUAAUGACUAUAUGGUACCUCGAUCCUUCAUACCCCCUAUGAUUCUGAUGCCACAAAAUUAAUGGUCAAAGAGCUGGAAUAAAUCAUAUUGAUCGAGAAUCUUCCUGAUCAAAAGUUAUACAUAGGCACGGGGUUAACAGUUGAGAUCACGAAAAAACUAAUUCAAUUUUUAUAGCUAAUAUGGAUUGUUUUGCCCAGUCCUAUCUCGAUAUGAAAGGGAUCCCACUGAAAUCACUACUCAUAAACUAAGCUUGGACUCGAAGUUCUGCCUGAUGAAACAAAAAAGGAGGCCUCAAUCCGAAGUUAAACAUAGUUUCAUCAAAGACGAGGUAGCCAAACUUCUUAAAAUAGGAUCCAUCCGGAAAGUAAAAUAUCUCGAAUGAUUAUAAAAUGUAGUAGCCGUCCUUAAAAAUGGAAACAAGCUUAGGAUGUGUGUAGACUACAAAGACCUAAAUAAAGCAUGCUCCACAGAUUCUUUUCCUUUUCCCAACAUCGAUCGCAUCAUCGAUGCCACGGCCAUCCACUAGACCCUCAGUUUUCUCAAUGCACAUUUCGGGUACAACAAAAUACAAAUAAACCGCAAGACUAGGAAAAAACUUAGUUCAUCACUAAGUAUGGUACCUACAGUUAUAAUAUAAUGCCAUUCGGACUAUAAAAUGCUAGUGCAACCUAUCAGUGCCUAGUAAACCGAAUAUUUGAAGAAGAAAAGGGGAGAUUUAUUGAUGUUUAUAUGAUGACAUGCUAGUUAAGUCCCGGCGAGUAGAGGACCAUUUGAAGAAUUUGCAAGAACUUUCAGUAUGCUGAAGAAAUACAACAUAAAGCUCAACCCAAAGAAAUGUGCAUUUGGCGUGGGGUCCAGCAAGUUUCUCGGAUUCAUGGUAUUGAAUUGGGAAAUCGAGAUCAACCCCAAUAAGAUCAAACAAAUCGAGGACAUUGUGUUAGUAGAUAAUAUAAAGGUCGUAUAAAGGCUAAUCGAACGUUGCAACCCUGAGUCAAUUUAUCUCGAGAUCGUCCGACAUAAGUGAUCGAUUCUUCUCGUUGCAGAAAAACAAGAACAACUUCACAUGGACCCCAUAACGUGAACAAGCUUUGGAGGAACUUAAGCGAUACUUGUCGAGUCCACCGUUGCUUGACACGCUGGAGGUAGAUGAAAAACUUUGCUUAUAUCUGGCAGUAUCAGAGAUAACAGUAAUAUGGGGUCCUAUUCCGAGAAGAAUAAGGUACAAAAUUCCCUAUCUAUUAUGUUAGUCGGACCUUAUGUGAAACCGAAACUAGAUAUAUUCAUCUAGAAAAGUAAGCACUCGCUUCGAUAAGCUCCUUUAGGAAACUAAAGCCAUACUUCCAAUGUCAUUACGUAUGUGUUGUAACAACUUAUCCCCUUAGAAAUAUUUUGCAUAAACCCGAUCUUUCGGGGUGCUUGGCUUAAUGGGUCGUAGAACUCAGCGAGUACGAUUUUGAGUAUCGACCCCGAACAACCAUCAAGUCUCAAAUAUUGGUAGACUUCAUGGCGGACUUCACGCUGGCCCUAGUUCCCAAGGUUGAAAGAGAAUUAUUAGUCAACUCUGGUACAUCUUCGGGGUACUGGACCGUCUUUACAGUCAGUGCUUCAAAUGUAAAGGGGUCCAGACUCGGUAUCGUGCUGAAACCAGCCACAGAAAACGUAGUUAAACAAUCUAUUAAAACUGUAAAAAUGACUAACAACUAGGCUGAAUAUGAGGCCAUGAUUGAAGGUUUCGAACUAGAGAAAGGCUCGAGAGAAGAGGUGAUCGAAGCCAAAUGCGAUUCCUUCCUUGUUGUGAAGCAGGUUAAUAGAACCUUUGAAGUUCAAGAGGAACGAAUGCAAAGAUACUUGGAUAAACUACAAGUAACUCUACACCGGUUCAAAGAAUGGACAUUACAACAUGUGCCUCGAGAUUAAAAUAGCGAAGUAGAUGCCCUCGUAUAUCAAGGCUCAUCGGUCAAAGACAGCGAACUCAAUUNNNNNNNNNNNNNNNNNNNNNNNNNNNNNNNNNNNNNNNNNNNNNNNNNNNNNNNNNNNNNNNNNNNNNNNNNNNNNNNNNNNNNNNNNNNNNNNNNNNNNNNNNNNNNNNNNNNNNNNNNNNNNNNNNNNNNNNNNNNNNNNNNNNNNNNNNNNNNNNNNNNNNNNNNNNNNNNNNNNNNNNNNNNNNNNNNNNNNNNNNNNNNNNNNNNNNNNNNNNNNNNNNNNNNNNNNNNNNNNNNNNNNNNNNNNNNNNNNNNNNNNNNNNNNNNNNNNNNNNNNNNNNNNNNNNNNNNNNNNNNNNNNNNNNNNNNNNNNNNNNNNNNNNNNNNNNNNNNNNNNNNNNNNNNNNNNNNNNNNNNNNNNNNNNNNNNNNNNNNNNNNNNNNNNNNNNNNNNNNNNNNNNNNNNNNNNNNNNNNNNNNNNNNNNNNNNNNNNNNNNNNNNNNNNNNNNNNNNNNNNNNNNNNNNNNNNNNNNNNNNGGGUGCUGUUGUACAACUAAUGAGGUAAGUGGUCGAAAAAGGCCACUCAGAGAUAAACUCCACAAGCCUGACCUAGGAUUGGAGAAACAAAUACAUAUAGUAUUUGAAGAAUGGAAAACAUCCUUCAGAUCCAAAUGAAUCGAGGGACUGGCGCAUAAAGGUAGUCCGAUUUAGCUUGUCCGAAGAUGGAACCUUAAUCAGAAGGAUGUUUGACUAUCCGCUAGUGAUAUGUCUGGGACUGGGAGAUACCGAGUAUAUUUUGAGGGAAGUCCACAAAGGCACAUGUAGAAACCACUCAGGCACUGAAUCGCUGGUUCGAAAGGUAAUUAGAGCCGACUAUUACUGGAUUGAUAUGGAAAUACAUGCGAAGGAGUUUGUGCAAAAAUGUGAUAAUUGUCAGAGACAUGCUCUGAUGAUUCAUCAACUCGGGGAGCUUCUGCAUUCGGUUUUAUCCCCAUAGCCGUUCAUGAAGUAGAGGAUGGACAUCGUUGGCCAUCUUCCAUUAUCACCAGGUAAGGCUCAAUUUGUUUUACUUGUGACUGACUAUUUCUCUAAGUGGGUUGAAGCAAGUCUUACCAGAAGAUCAAGGAGAAAGAAGGCAUCGACUUCAUUUGGGACCAUAUUAUAUGUCUAUUUAGAAUACCAUCCGAAAUUGCAUUUGACAACAAAUAGCAGUUUAUCAGCAGCAAAGUAACAAAAUUUCUCGAAGGCCUUAAGAUCAAAAGGAUCUUAUGAACACCUUAUCACCCAAGUGGGAAUAGGCAAGCAGAAUCGACCAGCAAAACCAUAAUACAAAACCUUAAGAAAAGGUUGACCAAUGCCAGGGAAAAUGGAUAGAACUCCUGCCCGAAGUCCUUUGGGUAUAUCGUGCAACUUCGCAGUCCAGUAUCGGGGCUACCCCGUUCUUUUUGUUUUAUGAUACCGAAGCUUUAAUACCGGUCAAAGUUGGGGAGACAAGCAUCAGAUUCUAAUAUACGACAAAGGAAUCAAAUGAAACGGCCAUGAAUGCAAGCCUAGAACUAUUAGAUGAACGACGUGAAACUGCUUUGUUCGAUUGGCUUCCCAGAAACAACGAUUAGAAAGGUAUUACAAUCAAAGGGCAGACCUUUAAAAUUUAAUUGUCGGUGACUUGGUACUAUGGAAGGUCACAUUAAAUACCCAAAAUCCAAAUGAAGGAAAACUGGGUUCAAUUUGGGAAGGGCAGUACCAGAUUCUCGAGAUCACCGGGAAAGGAUCCUAUCAGCUAGGAAUGAUGGAAGGGGAAUGAUGGACGGAGAACAACUAUCGAAUAAUUGGAACAUAACUCAGCUCAAACGAUUAUUACUGCUGAGGUACAAACCAAUUUCAAUUCUUUCUAUUUUUUGACAAACAAUUGCAGGUUAUCAACGAGGAACGAUACGAAGCCUUUAGGUCUGAAAGCACGUGUUACACACUCUUUUUACUUGAACCAUUUUAAUCCCAAAUAGGGUUUUCGAAAAGAUUUUUAACAAGGCAACAGUGGAUCGUGUCUUAGAAUUGAAGGCCAAUCACGAGUCGCUAUCAAAAACUAUAUUUAUAGAAUCCGAGUUUUCUAUACGAUCAACUUCGAAUAUUGGGGUGGUAUUACCCUCGGAUAUUAAAUUAUUCUAGCAAGGAAAUUAUUUCAAAAUGAAAGGGUCUCAAUAGGUAGGAUUUAUUAUAAGGGCUAAACUGUCAUAACAAACCGUGCCCAUAUAGAUUGCUCGAGCCCUGACAUAAAAUAUGUACUCACGUGUGAUUGUUUUUUACAAGAAUAAAGAAAAGUACCUUCCAUGCAACUAUUUAAUGUCUUGUAAAAAUUUUCGGUUUACAACCCAAUACUUUUGAUCUAUUACAGAAAUGAGCAUAAGAGCUGAUUGCAAUCAGAGUUUGAAUAAUCACUUCGACACUCAGGGACAGCCGUCCAUAGAAUAAAUUCAAAGAGAUCGAACUAUUGAACAUCGAGGGAAUAAGACCUCAUAGGAAACCCUCAAAGAUUUAAGUCUAUGGCCAUAUCCACUCGGGGAUUGUUAUCUUAAGCAAGCGUGGAUAACUUGGAAACGCAAACUCAUCGGGCUACACCCCAACAAAAAGGCUACGACCAAUUUAACGCUGUUCGGAGAUGUCCGAAAUUCGUAGCAAAAAUAGGCCAUCAAAAAAGGAAAAAAAUUCUUUCACCACCAAUUCUAAAGGCUACCCUUGGGAGAAAACUUCGGUAACAUUGAACCUCGGUAACAUCUUAACCUAGAAGAACAAUAAAGGCAAGGUUCAAGCCCCCGAACACAACUAUAUUAUUUUAUGAUAAGAAACUCCAACCUUUGUGAAUACAAGAAAUAAAACAAAGGAAAAAUUUUACAGCCGAAAAGGGUGAAAAAAUCUUAUAUAUAUGUCACGCCUCCUUUUUCACCUACACCCGCCAGGGCGUAAAGGAGUUUUUCGAAUUAAAGAACAAUCGGAACGAGAUUUUGUUAUUUAAGAGUUCAGAGUCACCACUUGGGAGAUUAAUGAUGUCCCAAGUCACCGGAUAAAUUCCGAACCGAGGAAAAAUAUGACUUUGUAUUACAGUCUGCGAACCAGAAAUCUAGAUAAGGAAUUCUGUUUACCCCGGGAGAAGGUGUUAGGCAUUCACGUAUUCCGUAGUUCUAGCAUGGUUUCUUAAUUGUUGUAUUUGAUUUUAUCUGAUUUUAAUACAUGCUACCUGAUGUGCCUUUUAUUUGUAAACUGCUUUUGUCUUUAUUUUAAAAGAAUUGCAACGUCUUGAAAACACCCUUGAACCACGUCGCAAUCAAUGCACCCGUGGUUUUUAACACGUUUCGACUCCGUUGAGAUUUGGAUUUGGGUCGCAUCAAUGCGCACCCGAAUUUAAGAAAGUUUUAUUUAAAACCACACCAAAAGUAAUUUUGCAUUCGCAAUUUGCGAGGGUCCAUGGAAUUUUCUAAAUGGCAUGCCUCGGAAUCUAAGGAUCAAUUCAAAAGCAAAUAAAGUGAGGGCAUGCAAUUAGGGGUUUAUUUACAAGUGCCAUUUUUGUACAUAUGUGUUUCUGCAGAAUCCCAAGAUAAGGAAGCUAGUUAACUUCAAAGCAUCCAUAAGCAAGUCAAUCCAGGAGAUAUGGAAGAGACGAUUAAAGUCACAGAACUUAUUGGAAACACCCCUAUGAUAUAUCUCAACAAAAUCGCGGAAGAGUGUGCUGCCUUGCUUAAAGAACUUAUCCUGUAGGUAAGUAUUGGAGGUGCCUAGUUUAGCUUUUAGCCUAGAAAAUUGUAAUCUGACCAAAAAAAAAAAUUUGAUUCUAUUUGAUCCCAAAACCUACUAUUAUCCCAAUUCUAGAAAAAAAUCAACUUAACAACAAAGUAUUCCAAACUUUCUCAUCAAAAAUAUAGAAACAUACCCAUACAAACACAUGAAAAUGGGGCAAUGGCAAACGAAAAUUGUCUUUGAAUGAUUAAUAAACAAUCCAAUUCAAAGCGUUCGUAGAAGAACUGAUCGAAACAAACUCACCCCUACUGAUUACUGUCACUGACUAACAAUCACAAAACCAAGCAAAAACUCAGUUAGACAAUAGACUAUCCAGCAGAUUGAGAAUGUUGCAAACCAAAGUGGAAAAUUCUAUAUUUAAAAUUGUGGUGAUUUUCUUCUUAAGCAGUGCAGAAAUAGGGCAAGUCAUCAGCAUGCCUAAUAGUUCAAACAAUUUCCAACCUACUGCAUGUAUCAUCUCGAUUAGCAACUGCAAAUAGACGUUAAAAUAAACCAACACACGAGUACCCAAGUUUUAGUUCAAAAUUGGCCUAAGAAAAUCAGUGGCGGAAUUGACAUGCUGGAAACAUGAACAUUCACUUAAUCUCCUCAAACAUGGUGAACCACAAAGAACAAAUAUUAUCAAUUGGGAACUUCAACAGAUUCAGCCGAACAAUUAAUGUGAAGAUGAUUAUAAGAUCAUAGAAAAGGGAAUUUUUUUUGUUUCUGUUUUCUUUUCUUUUGAAAAAAAUGUAGACUAGAGCUGGCACACACACGAAUAAAGUUUCAGCCAAAACAACCAUGAGAGACUCCUUCAAAUCACAUUAUAAUCUCGGGGCAGAACAUAACAAACGCACCACCUAUGACUCAAGGGUUGCAACAGAAGGAUAAGUUCAAACACUACGUCUCAGCAAGACAAACUUUCGAAUGCUCGACCUAAUCGACUAAUGAACAAAAGACUCUGACCUCCUUCUCAUGAGAGCUUAUUCAAAUAGAAACCAACAACACCUCAAAUGCACCGCUUCAUGCUUACACCAUCACGUUCAGAAUCAAGCAAAACCAUGAUUCAAAUUCCUUGUUUUAGAGCAGCUUACUAACAGAUUAAACAACCACAACAGGACAACUGUGCAAACAAUAAGCGAACCAGUCGACUUGAAAUAAGAGUAGUGUGAAAUCUUCAAAAAUCCGUGCAAUCUCAAAACUUAAAAGAAACAUUCAUUUGAAAGCGAUGAAAUCUUGACUCAAAUGAAAAGCUUGAGACCAGAAUAACAGCUAAAGCAUACGAACACAGAGAACGACCCUUCAAACUUAACUUUUGCUGACUGAACAUACUCAAACACAUACCACCAUUGCGAAUAGAUUCAUUUGAAGAUAACACAAAACAGACCAUUCCAGACUGAAUAUCAUAGUUCAAAAACACUGAAAUAAGACAUAGUUACAUAGAAUAAAAGAGAGGAAACUGGAACCUGAAGUUGCAAAUCUUCUUCUAUAACGAUUAUAAGCCCGACAAUACAAACUCUCGAAUCCAAAUCCUGCGAGGUUCAGAAACAAAUCAGUGAGGCGACAAUAAAACCCAGCUUGAACUUUAAUUUUAUCUCCUCAGAACUCAAAUUUGUAUUCAGAAAAAUAAGAAGAAGAAAUUCUGUCUAUGUUUCUCUUAAGCUUUAAUGACCUCGUCAAAAAAAUCAACUCCGACAAAUCCAUUUCUUCAUAGAAAAAUUUUCAAACUCUUUUCUCUGAAUUUUUUUUAGCCGCCCCUCACAAAAUUGGAUAAAACCUCUGUUGAAGACCAAUCAUUGAUGAAUGUGGGGAUCAGAUUGAGUGAAAUCAAUCCAACACCUCACACUCAUCCAGCAUUUCGUCUCCAGACGAUUCCAAUCAUGAGAUAGGUCUAAAAAACGAGCGGGGUAUCCCUCAUAGGGAAUCCUGGCAUCAGAAAACUGUUAGCAACUGCAAGAGGAGAGGUAGAGGGACGCAUGGGUUAGGGCUUGAUCCUCACUCGCAUCAAUUUUGACGGUUUUUGGGACGAAUUUAGGGCUUGGCUCGUGUGUUCUUCAAAGAAGAAUAACAGUACGCGUUUUGAUUAGGGAUUUUGGCUUCAGUUCCUUUAUGCUAUGGAAUGGGG
rnacentral:lncRNA from 1 species